rfam:Brachypodium distachyon strain Bd21 chromosome 1, whole genome shotgun sequence.
UUUAUACUCACUCCGUCCAACUGUCUCAACUUUGAUUAAAUUUGAAUGCAUCUAUAUACUAAGUCAUGUCUAGAUACAUCUAAAUUUUAACAAAUUUGUGACAUCUUUUGUUGGACGGAGGGAGUAGCAU